UUGGAGAAUAGAAGCAGCUCUGGACUAUCUGAAACUGCAAUAAGCAGACUGGAGGGGUGGAGAAAGGCAAACCCAGAGAAUGAAUUCAGCAGAGCAAAUUGAGAUGAUACUGGAAAUAACCCUUGAGAAUUUGAAGAUAAGUUUGGACUUGAAUCUGUGUUGUUGUCCUCCUCCUCUGCCCUAGGAACUACUUCUUGAUAUGUCACUCUCAUAUAUGAGUCACCUGCACCAUAUAUGAAGUAACCCUUGUGAACAUUUGCCUCCCCAGAUAUUAUCUUUCUUCAGAUGAGGAUUGAAUGAAGGGAAAACUGCAUGGAAACUCAGCAAACUGAUUAGCAAAGCUGCCUGGAGCAUGUAUCUCAUCUUAAUGUACAGUUUCCUGGGACCUCUGAACUACCUGGUUGUGGCUAGUUGCCACUGCUAGACAAAGAUACGUUCUUCCACUGUCCUAGCUGAGGUGGCUUUGCUGCCUGGGUGAAGCAGGGUAAGUCAGGCUGGAAGCCAGACUGGCAGAAAGAUAAGCCAGGAAGAAAAGGUUUCCAGCAGGGUAUUACCCAGGCUAGGCAAGAGACAGCUCAGACACAGGGAACUUGACUAGCAGUGACUUAGGUCAGCCUAAACUCACAUACCUGGUGUUCUCCUGGGUGCCACUUUUUCCUCCUGUGUCUGCUCCAAGCUAGGCACUUGCAUUUCCUCCCUGGUGCUGCCUCUGAUGCUUGACUGACACCUUAUGAGUUGACUGAAAUCCUCCUAACUGUGUGAGGGAUUAUGCUUAUGUUGACCUGACUGCUAAUGCCAGACUGGUGAUUAAUAACACCAUAAACUGUCUCAGAAACAGCUGAAUACAUCUCAUACAACAUUGCAACUCUUGCAGGCCAAUGUGAUGCAAAAUGGUAUAAAAGCUUUUGGAAGAGGACAGCUCAAAAGGACACCAUCAAAGGUAGAAGUAAGUAAUGUAGUACAGUGCAUGUGGUAAAUGCUUGAAGAAAUGCUUGGAUUUAUUUCCGUUUUGAAAACGUAAACAUACUUGGCUUAAUGAUUUAAUUGUACAUUGUGCUGUGAAAUCUGGUAGAAAAUAACACUGAACUUCCUACAAUAAGGAGAAACCAGCUACUUAUAGGUAUGUGUUAAUGACUUAUUAGGAAACAAGGAUAAAACUUUAUAC